rnacentral:rRNA from 1 species
CCUACGGGAGGCAGCAGUGAGGAAUAUUGGUCAAUGGGCGUAAGCCUGAACCAGCCAAGUCGCGUGAGGGAUGAAGGUUCUAUGGAUCGUAAACCUCUUUUAUAAGGGAAUAAAGUGCGGGACGUGACCAGUAUUGUAUGUACCUUAUGAAGAAGGAACGGCUAACACCGGGCCAGCAGCCGCGGUAAUACGGAGGAUCAGAGCGUUAUCCGGAUUUAUUGGGUUUAAAGGGUGCGUAGGCGGCCUUGUAAGUCAGCGGUGAAAGUCUGUGGCUCAACCAUAGAAUUGCCGUUGAAACUGGGAGGCUUGAGUGUGUUUGAGGCAAGUGGAAUGCGUGGUGUAGCGGUGAAAUGCUUAGAUAUUACGCAGAACCCCGAUUGCGAAGGCGGCCUGCCAGGCCAUGACUGACGCUGAUGCACGAAAGCGUGGGGAUCAAACAGGAUUAGAUACCCGGGUAGUC